GGAUAGAUGUCUGAGUUGGUUUAAGGUAUCAGCCUUGAAAGCUGACGGAUGUAAAAAGUCCCGGGGGUUCGAAUCCCUCUCUAUCCG
rnacentral:tRNA from 1 species